rnacentral:rRNA from 1 species
GAAAACUCCGGUGGUAUGGGAUGGGCCCGCGUCUGAUUAGCUCGUUGGCGGGGUAACGGCCCACCAAGGCGACGAUCAGUAGCCGGCCUGAGAGGGCGGCCGGCCACAUUGGGACUGAGACACGGCCCAGACUCCUGCGGGAGGCAGCAGUGGGGAAUAUUGCACAAUGGGGGAAACCCUGAUGCAGCGACGCCGCGUGAGCGAUGAAGUAUCUCGGUAUGUAAAGCUCUAUCAGCAGGGAAGAAAGUGACAGUACCUGACUAAGAAGCCCCGGCUAACUACGUGCCAGCAGCCGCGGUAAUACGUAGGGGGCAAGCGUUAUCCGGAUUCACUGGGCGUAAAGGGAGCGCAGGCGGCACGGCAAGUCUGGUGUGAAAACCCGGGGCUCAACCCCGGGACUGCAUUGGAAACUGCCGGGCUGGAGUGUCGGAGGGGUAAGCGGAAUUCCUAGUGUAGCGGUGAAAUGCGUAGAUAUUAGGAGGAACACCAGUGGCGAAGGCGGCUUACUGGACGAUGACUGACGCUGAGGCUCGAAAGCGUGGGGAGCAAACAGGAUUAGAUACCCUGGUAGUCCACGCCGU